AUGGCGCUCGCAGCGGCACCACGCCCGCGGUCGGCGCCGGCCGUGCUGGUCGCGGCGGUGCUGCUCUCGCUUUCGCUGUCGAUGACGCCCGCGACGGCGCAGCACGUGGCGGUGCCUCCUUCGGCUCCCCCGAAGGCGGCGGCGGCGGCGCCUGGGCCGGCCGCGGGAUUGAGCGCGGCGUGCCUCAACUCGCUGGUCAACAUGUCGGACUGCCUGCCGUACGUGCAGGCCGGGAGCAAGGCGCGGGCGCCGGACAAGCCGUGCUGCCCGGAGCUGGCCGGCAUGGUGGGCUCCAACCCCGUCUGCCUCUGCGAGCUCCUCUCCGGGGCCGCCGACUCCCUGGGCAUCGCCGUCGACUACGCCCGCGCGCUCGCGCUCCCCGGCGUCUGCCGCGUCGCCACCCCGCCCAUCACCACCUGCGCAGCAAUGGGCUACAAUGUUCGUCUGGGCCCAUCUCCGGCGCCCGCGCCGGGAUCUCCCUCGCCCAUGUCGCCCAGCGGCAGCCCACAGUACCCUGCUGGUCCUUCGCCGUUCGCCUCGCCGCCGGAGUCGCCCAAGCCCAGCCACGCGGCGCGCCGCAUCCACGCCGCCGGCGUCCUCGCCGCCCUCGCCGCCUCCUUCGCCGUCGGGAUGGCGCUCUUCUAG
rnacentral:rRNA from 1 species